UUCCAGAGCUUGAGUGCAGCUACAGUGUUGAUGGGCCUUAUAAGCUGUUUGAAUGGUUUUUGAGAAAUGGGCAGCCAUUGGGAGGUGCUUAAAGCAGAGUGGUGGGACAGUGAGAUUCACAUUUGGGAAUGAUUCGUCUGACUGCAGUGAGGAAAACAACCUGGUGGCCCAGUGAGGAGGGUGCUGAGUGAUUCAGUAGAAUGGACAUGAACUAAAGCACAGGUGAAUAUGGCGAUGAAGAGGCAAAUCUGGAAGAAUUUAGUCAUAAUCAGAAUCUAUUGACAAGACUGGAUGACUCACCAUCGGGAGACGUGCAAAGCAGACUAAAGCCCAAGCUGAGUCUUAUGGACUGUGAAACACCACUGAGGGCCUGAAACAGCACAGAUGUGUUUUCAACCUCACUAAACUGUGCACCACACUGAGGGCCUGAAACAGUACAGAUGUGUUUUUAACCUCACUCAACUGUGCAACACUCCGUCCUCCCAGGAGCACUUUCACAGCCCUACACACCAAAGGGGAAGCAGACAUUCAGGGCUGUUCCCCUGCAUAGGCUCUCUUGCCAGCCACCAUGUAAGACAUGCCUUUGCUACUCCUUCGCCUUCCACCAUGAUUGUGAGGCCUCCCCAGCCAUGUGAAACUCAAUAAAUGAAUAAAAGACAAAGCACGAUGCUGGCAGAUGAGAGAAGUGAACACAUUUUUGAAGAUAGAAAACAGAUAAGCUGAGAGCCAAGAGUCUGCAGAUACAGGAUGCUAUAAAAACACACCAGGAAAAGUUUGGAACCGUCUUCUUUUUUGGAAGUAACUUUCUUACUCAAAGGACAAGAUCUCCUGAUGGUGGCGGAGGGGAGGCUCCUCUGCAGUGUGCCUGGGCCCUGCCAGCCACCCUCCCAAAAGUUCACCAUUGAUGGGCUCCAGCAGUGCACACAAAGCCUCACACCAGCUUUUUUUGGUGCCUCACUCUAAAAAGUGAACAAAACAAAGACUACCAGAAUUUGAGAAAUGCCUUUAGUAUAAUGAGAAGAAGCCACCCAACCUAACCAAAAACGAAUCAAAACAAAAAUAUUGGCGGCGGGGGGAAGAGUCAAUGCAGGGAGCAGAAAAAACAACUCCAAACAUUAUCAGAGAGGUAAGAAAAGCUACACAAUCUAUCCAGCAAGAAGAGGAUACAAUAAAAACAAAUCAGAGAAUAAGAAUGUGUUCUCAGAAACUGAAAAAAAAAACACAGUAUAAUCAAAAACUUCAACUGAAGGAUUAGAAGACAAACUUGAGGAGAUAUUUCAUAAAAGAGAAUAAAAGACAAGGAGUGAAAAAGUUCUGAGCAUCAGUUGAGGAAAGCAAACAGAGCAAAUAGAAAAGACAGUAUUAUUGACAAAUAAAAUGAGAACACCUCCCAUAAAUAAAAGAGGUGAGUCUCCAGAUUGAAACAUUGAAUGGACAAAAGGCCAAUUUCAAGUUACCAGGGAUAAAUAAAAAAAAGCCCUAAAAAUGCCCAGGGAGGUGCAGUUCUUGCAGAAGGGAGGGGAGUGACAUGAUGGAGCGUGGGAAGAGGAACAGUCCCAUGGGUGGAUUUAAAUUUGAACGAAAGCAGACUCCUCAACAACAAAACGGUAAACAUAACAUGGAAUGAUGCCUUCAAUAUUCUGAAGGAAAAGGACUUCCAACUGGAAUUGUACCCAUGGCUGAGGAGACACACAAGCUAUUUUAGUUAGAAAAGUAACUCCCUCGCACAAACUCUAUCCCAAAAAGUCAGGAAAUGAAGAACAUAAAUUGGUGAAAAGAGCUCUCCAAGCCAGGAAUAGAAGCUCCAAGGAAAGGGAGAUAAAGGGAAUUCCAAGAUGGAAGAAAGACCUGGAAGGCAGCUGUGCAGCAGGUCUGGAGAGAAAGCAGUUCAGAUGGAGGAAGGGCAGAGGGCUAUCUUUGAGGUGAGAGGGGGAUUAAUGGACCCCCUGAUGUGUCUGGCUGUAGCUGAGUCAAAAGCCAGAUGGAGAAGUUUGUAUUUUUAGGUCACAUUGUGAUACAACCAGAGGGUGUUCAGUCAAAGCCAACCCAACAAGCAGGAGGAUGGCUGAGGAAAUGGGAAAGGCUACUUCCAAGGACAACAAGAGAUACAUGCCUAAGAGAUCAGGGGCCCAAAGUGUUCCCACAGGCCUCAAUUAAAAGGAAGGUCAAUGAUGCAAAACAAACGAUUACAUGUAAAGUCAGACCAACUGAACAAGAAUUCCAAGAGCUGCACCUCUAGUUCCUUCCAGAAGGAGCGUCUUAAGUCUCAGAAUAAUGCAUGGACCAUCCAAAAAACAGUUUAUCAGCUAUACAUGUACCUAUUGCUUUAUUGUUGUAGUAUUAUUAUUUUGCUUCAAAAUAUCAAUGCAUGGAUACUCUUAACAAUUUACUGGAAUUCUGUGUGUGUGUGUGUGUGUGUGUGUGUGUGUGUGUGUGUGUGUGUGUUCCAAUUCACUCAUUUCAUCAUUCAGUUUGAUAUUUCUUCCCUUUUGUAAUCAUUUUUAAAAAUUUGUAUAACUUUUUGAGUUGAAAGUUGAAUUAGUUCACUUUCAUUAUUUCUUACUGAGUAAGGUAUAGAUUUCUCUCUGAACAUAUGUACUAUGAUAUCCUAAAAGUUUAUCUCUUCAGUGUUCUCAUUAUACUAAGUCUAGAUUUUCUGAGAUUCAGGUCUGGGUUCUCCUCUGAUCCCAUGAUUGCUUAAGUGCUAGAGUGAUAGUUAGAAACGUUUUUGCAUUUGUUCUAGGUGACUGGACUUUUUCUCAACAAUUUCUUAUUUCAUUGCAUUUUGAUCAAAGACUAGGUCUGAUGUUUUGUUUUGAGAAUUUACUGAGUUGUGUGUGGCCUAACAGUAGAGUUUUGAGAAGUGCUUUUAGGCAGAUUUAUUCUGUUUUCAACUUGAUGUAUAUCUUUAGUCACUCUUCCUCGUUUUCUUAAAUCAUGUUAUUCAGAUUCUGUAUAUUCUUAUGUCUGUUUUGCCUGUUUACUCCAUCACUCUCUGAAAUGGGUGAAUUAAAGUCUCCUUAUAUUAUUUUAUUUCUCCUUAUAUUUUCUGCCAUUAUACUUUCCAAAACAUGAUAUUAUACUCUUUAGUGAAUAAAGACUAUGUCUGUUUGAAUCUCAUCAUAAAAUUGAAUCUUUUGUAGUGUAAAGAGCUCUCAUUUACAGAUGAAGAAAUGAAGUUAGGAAUAGUGGGGUGAUUUGCCUCAUACUGCAGAGUGAGCAGUCAGUCUGGAUGUCCAGUUCAGGUGAGUUCCAGGCCUUAAACCUGACUAGUGAGACUGACACCCCCCACCUGCCACACACACACAUUCACUCACAAAGGGGAACAGACGUGAAAAGAAGAAAACAUCUAAAAUAAUUUCCAUCAUUAUUUUUGGGCUGACAGAACAAUUCCAGGUAAAUCCUGAAUAGAGGGUGAGUUGUCCUAUAAGUUUCCACUAAGAGCACCCAAAAAUAUAUUAGAUUUAUCUGAUACCCGCCCCCCCCCAACUUCUGAGCAGCAAAUGCUCCUCUUCUAUUUGUAUUGUUUCAGGUUUGACACUUCAGUCAUGUAUGCUGUGCCCUGUGUCCCACACAGGAGUUCUAGGGCAAGAGGCCUUCACAUUGUAACAAUAUCUGGCUCUCAAUGUAAAUAAUAUAAUUAUUGGUUCUUCAAUAAAUUACCUGUGUAUGUUUUAUGACACAGAGGUAGAUCAAGUCUUCUGGAGUCUGUGUUCUACUCAUUUGGAAAAAAAAAAAUUCAUAUCUAAUCCUGGACCUUGACUCAAAAGUAAAUUUACAUCUUGUAGUCCCAAUAUUGUCAUCUCUAAAUAUUCCUAUGUUAACAAAUACACCUACUUCACUUUAUUCUCUAUGUAAAUUC